UACGUAGGGGGCGAGCGUUGUCCGAAGUUACUGGGCGUAAAGCGCGCGUAGGCGGGUCUUUAAGUGAGGGGGGAAAGGUUCAGGGCUCAACCCGGACACUGCCUUUCAUACUGGGGACCUUGAGUGCGGGAGGGGCGAGUGGAAUGGUCGGUGUAGCGGUGAAAUGCGUAGAUAUCGAUCGGAACACCCAUGGCGAAGGCAGCUCGCUGGCCUGCAACUGACGCUGAGGCGCGAAAGCGUGGGGAGCAAACAGG
rnacentral:rRNA from 1 species